rnacentral:rRNA from 1 species
UCGUUUUUCCNUGGGGGGGACUGCGGAGGGAUCAUUACACAAAUAUGAAGGCGGGCUGGAACCUCUCGGGGUUACAGCCUUGCUGAAUUAUUCACCCUUGUCUUUUGCGUACUUCUUGUUUCCUUGGUGGGUUCGCCCACCACUAGGACAAACAUAAACCUUUUGUAAUUGCAAUCAGCGUCAGUAACAAAUUAAUAAUUACAACUUUCAACAACGGAUCUCUUGGUUCUGGCAUCGAUGAAGAACGCAGCGAAAUGCGAUAAGUAGUGUGAAUUGCAGAAUUCAGUGAAUCAUCGAAUCUUUGAACGCACAUUGCGCCCUUUGGUAUUCCAAAGGGCAUGCCUGUUCGAGCGUCAUUUGUACCCUCAAGCUUUGCUUGGUGUUGGGCGUCUUGUCUCUAGCUUUGCUGGAGACUCGCCUUAAAGUAAUUGGCAGCCGGCCUACUGGUUUCGGAGCGCAGCACAAGUCGCACUCUCUAUCAGCAAAGGUCUAGCAUCCAUUAAGCCUUUUUUUCAACUUUUGACCUCGGAUCAGGUAGGGAUACCCGCUGAACUUAAGCAUAUCAAUAAGCCGGAGGAAGGCCGUCGG